GUUUGUCCUGCCCUAGGGACUAUCCCCGUGGAUACAGGACUUGUUGGAAGAGCGUUUUAAAACAGGUACUAAAGAGAGAGAGUAGACAGCCAGCGAAUCAACAAGCAGAAGUGGAAGACGAGGUGGACCAAAUGAGAUCUGACAGCUCACCUUAGAAUGCUGAGGUUAUCUGAGAUCUUUGAGUGGAUGAUUUAACUGUUGUGAGAAAGAGAAAUUCAAGAAAAAGCCCCGAAGGGGUAAAAAGUAAGGGCAAAGAGGUGUUUUGUCUAGUGGAGAAGAGCUGGCUUUGAGGCCAGGUAGACUCGGGUCCGUUUGGCACCAUCAUCACUUGCACUUGGCUGUGUGGUUUUGGGCAGGUCACAUAAAUCAUUCUCAGGGUCUCUGUUCUCUCACUUCGUGAGUCUCUUGGAAGGAUUAGAUUGUGGGUGAAAUGCUGGGGACAUAGUGAAGACACUCCUAACAGUAUCCACUAGUGUUCCAGAGAAAUAAGGAGAUGUUUGGUCAUGACAGAUACUGUAUAGCGUUUAUCUCUGGAAAUCAAGCUAAUCUGUGUUUACUAGGUUUAUAGAUGGAAACAAACAUCUUAAGCUUUACUUAUAACUUUAAUGUAGUUCUUACUACAAAAGCUACCAGGUGUGGAAUUGAUGAUUUUAUGUUAGACAUGCUGAUACUGACGGGAUGGAAAAUGCCCCUCACUGUGCGUGUGUGAAUCUACAGAACAGCCCUUGUUACUGCCUUCAUGAUUUUUGAACUGGUUUCCCUUCUCUGCCAAAGAAGAGCUGGAGUAUGAGGCCGCGCUGAACAUCGGGAUCGGAGGAUCGUAGUCCCUUCUAGGACCCGACCAGUAUUGAUUCUUACUGAAGCAGGAAAUUUUAAUUUCAAACCCUCCAAAAAAAAUUUACUUCAUAUCUCAGUGGGGAGCCACUUGAAAAUGAACACUAUUUUAAAUGUGUAUGUAAUUAAUUCUGUGAAAAUGGUAGCCUACCUGCCAUUGUUUUCUUACAAUCAGCUUGGAGAAUGAAUAAUCUUGUGCUAAAUAAAUAUUCAUCUUUUAAAAUACUAAA
rnacentral:lncRNA from 1 species